AUUGAACGCUGGCGGCAGGCUUAACACAUGCAAGUCGAGCGAGCGGCGGACGGGUGAGUAAUGUCUGGGAAACUGCCUGAUGGAGGGGGAUAACUACUGGAAACGGUAGCUAAUACCGCAUACCAUCAGAUGUGCCCAGAUGGGAUUAGCUAGUAGGUGGGGUAAUGGCUCACCUAGGAGACGAUCCCUAGCUGGUCUGAGAGGAUGAACAGCAACACUGGAACUGUGACACGGUCCAGACUCGUGCGGGAGGCAGUAGUGGGGAUGAUUGCACAAUGGGCGCAAGCCUGAUGCAGCCAUGCCGCGUGUGGGAAGAAGGCCUUCUGGUUGUAAAGCACUUUCAGCUAGGAGGCGUUACUCUCAGAAGAAGCACCGGCUAACUCCGUGCCAGCAGCCGCGGUAAUUC
rnacentral:rRNA from 1 species